CUGCACUUUGAGAGGAUGAGAAUCUCCGAAGGAGGUUUGAGCCGAACGAAGUGAGACCACGUUGCUUUAGCAACGGCCCGCAGGGCAAGCAUCGAAGAUGCGCAAAGAACCAACAAUUA
rnacentral:sRNA from 1 species